AGAGUUUGAUCCUGGCUCAGGAUGAACGCUAGCUACAGGCUUAACACAUGCAAGUCGAGGGGAAACGACAUCGAAAGCUUGCUUUUGAUGGGCGUCGACCGGCGUACGGGUGAGUAACGCGUAUCCAACCUGCCCACCACUUGGGGAGUAACCUUGCGAAAGUAAGACUAAUACCCAAUGAUAUCUCUAGAAGACAUCUGAAAGAGAUUAAAGAUUUAUCGGUGAUGGAUGGGGAUGCGUCUGAUCAGCUUGUUGGCGGGGUAACGGCCCACCAAGGCAACGAUCAGUAGGGGUUCUGAGAGGAAGGUCCCCCACAUUGGAACUGAGACACGGUCCAAACUCCUUCGGGAGGCUGCA
rnacentral:rRNA from 1 species